CAGUCGCCACGGUAAUACGUAGGGUGCGAGCGUUAAUCGGAAUUACUGGGCGUAAAGCGUGCGCAGGCGGUUGUGUAAGACAGGUGUGAAAUCCCCGGGCUUAACCUGGGAACUGCGCUUGUGACUGCACGGCUAGAGUAUGGCAGAGGGGGGUGGAAUUCCACGUGUAGCAGUGAAAUGCGUAGAGAUGUGGAGGAACACCGAUGGCGAAGGCAGCCCCCUGGGCCAAUACUGACGCUCAUGCACGAAAGCGUGGGGAGCAAACAGGAUUAGAUACCCCCGUAGUCCCUGUCUCUUAUAC
rnacentral:rRNA from 1 species